AAACCCUGUGGGCAGCAGGAGGACCCACCCUCUAAGGCUAAAUACUACCUAGUGACCGAUAGCGUAUAGUACCGUGAGGGAAAGGUGAAAAGAACCCCGGGAGGGGAGUGAAAUAGAACCUGAAACCCUGCACUUACAAGCUGUGGAAGCACAUUUCUUGUGUGACCGCGUACUUUUUGUAGAACGGGCCAACGAGUUACGU
rnacentral:rRNA from 1 species